GAUCUAGUGGCGAACGGGUGAGGAACACGUGAGAAACGUACCCCAGACUUUGGGAUAACAGUUCGAAAGGACUGCUAAUACCAAAUAACGUCGGAAGUCCGCAUGGACAUCUGACGAAAGGGAUUCCGGUUUGGGAGCGUCUCGCGGACCUAUCAGCUAGUUGGAGGGGUAACGGCCCACCAAGGCAACGACGGGUAGCUGGUCUGAGAGGAUGGUCAGCCACACUGGGACUGAGACACGGCCCAGACUCC
rnacentral:rRNA from 1 species